GUCUGACCUCGGAUCAGGUGGGAUUACCCGCUGAACUUAAGCAUAUCAAUAAGCGGAGGAAAAGAAACUAACAAGGAUUCCCCUAGUAACGGCGAGUGAAGCGGGAUGAGCUCAAAUUUGAAAUCUGGUAGUCUUUGGCUGCCCGAGUUGUAAUCUAGAGAAGUGUUUUCUGUGCUGGACUGUGUACAAGUUUCCUGGAUACGGAACAUCAUAGAGGGUGAGA
rnacentral:rRNA from 1 species